rnacentral:rRNA from 1 species
GCAAGUCGAACGGUAGCAUAUCUUGCUUGCAAGAUGAUGACGAGUGGCGGACGGGUGAGUAAUACUUAGGAACAUGCCUUUGAGUGGGGGAUAACUAUUGGAAACGAUAGCUAAUACCGCAUAACGUCUACUGACCAAUGGGGGCUUCGGCUCUCGCUCAGGGAGUGGCCUAAGCGAGAUUAGCUAGUUGGUAGGGUAAAGGCUCACCAAGGCGACGAUCUCUAGCUGUCCUGAGAGGAAGAUC